rnacentral:rRNA from 1 species
UACGUAGGCGGAAAAUUAAGUCAGUAGUGAAAUCCUGCAGCUUAACUGUAGAACUGUUAUUGAUACUGGUUUUCUUGAACAUAGUUGAGGUAGGCGGAAUGUGUAAUGUAGCGGUGAAAUGCUUAGAUAUUACACAGAACACCGAUUGCGAAGGCAGCUUACUAAGCUAUGAUUGACGCUGAGGUACGAAAGCGUGGGGAGCGAACAGGAUUAGAUACCCUGGUAGUCC